GUGACUGCGUACCUUUUGUAUAAUGGGUCAGCGACUUAUAUUCUGUAGCAAGGUUAACCGAAUAGGGGAGCCGGAGGGAAACCGAGUCUUAAUUGGGCGUUAAGUUGCAGGGUAUAGACCCGAAACCCGGUGAUCUAGCCAUGGGCAGGUUGAAGGUUGGGUAACACUAACUGGAGGACCGAACCGACUAAUGUUGAAAAAUUAGCGGAUGACCUGUGGCUGGGGGUGAAAGGCCAAUCAAACCGGGAGAUAGCUGGUUCUCCCCGAAAGCUAUUUAGGUAGCGCCUCGUGAAUUCAUCUCCGGGGGUAGAGCACUGUUUCGGCUAGGGGGCCAUCCCGGCUUACCAACCCGAUGCAAACUGCGAAUACCGGAGAAUGUUAUCACGGGAGACACACGGCGGGUGCUAACGUCCGUCGUGAAGAGGGAAACAACCCAGACCGCCAGCUAAGGUCCCAAAGUCAUGGUUAAGUGGGAAACGAUGUGGGAAGGCCCAGACAGCCAGGAUGUUGGCUUAGAAGCAGCCAUCAUUUAAAGAAAGCGUAAUAGCUCACUGGUCGAGUCGGCCUGCGCGGAAGAUGUAACGGGGCUAAACCAUGCACCGAAGCUGCGGCAGCGACACUGUGUGUUGUUGGGUAGGGGAGCGUUCUGUAAGCCUGUGAAGGUGGCCUGUGAGGGUUGCUGGAGGUAUCAGAAGUGCGAAUGCUGACAUAAGUAACGAUAAAGCGGGUGAAAAGCCCGCUCGCCGGAAGACCAAGGGUUCCUGUCCAACGUUAAUCGGGGCAGGGUGAGUCGACCCCUAAGGCGAGGCCGAAAGGCGUAGUCGAUGGGAAAC
rnacentral:rRNA from 1 species